rnacentral:misc_RNA from 1 species
AUUGAAUUGAAUUUCAUUGUAUACCCAGGUUCUUGAUUUUUGAUAUUUGGAGGUGAAUUUUGGGAAGUGAGGAUUUUAAGUGCUACAUUGUUGUUAGGUAGUUUUUGUGGGGAUUUGGUUGGAUAAGUAAAUGGUUGAGGUGUAAGUUAAGUGUACAGAGAGAUGAGUAGUAUGGCUUCCCUGGUGAGUUUGGGGAGUGUGUGUGGAUGUUCUUCUGGACAGUUUGAAGGGUCAUUCUCACUAGUUAGGAGGGUUUCUUUUUCGAAGAAUUUUGGAAGCGUAAAUAGAAUUUGGGGUGGGAAAAGAUGGCGUUAUGUUUCUGUUUGUAGAUAUUCAGUCACCACGGAUUUCGUUGCUGAUCAGGGGACAUCAAUAUCUCUUGAAUCCUCAUCCAGUAGUAAUAAGGAUGAUGAUGCUGAUCUUAUGCUUAAGCCGGCUCCUAAGCCACAAUUGAAACCUGGACCCAGACCUGGCCCUGUUUUA